UGAAAAGAUGCAAAGGGAAAUAAAAUAGUAAAGAUCACAACGUAUUGAUCAUCCUGUUAAAUCUACAGAAUCUGCUGAGGUAUUUGGUUAUAACAUACUCAAAAUGUGUUUUAACCAAUGACUUGGGGUUGAAAAAUAUCAACCUUCAUAAGAAUAACCUUCCGUUUCAGAAGAUAGCUUAUCGUGCACCGAUUCCACAAACAUCUAAUUUGUAGAUCUUUUAAUUGAGCUAAGGGAGAUAAUCAGCUACUUCGUCUAAAUAUCACUUUCGGUGUGAACUUAUUUUCAACUUUUAUCAGAUUCAAAAAGAAAAUGUUCGUAUAUUUUUUAAUAAGGGAGAUAAUGUGUAGCUUCCGAUGUAUGUAGUUAUUUGAAAGGUAAGUUUUACCUAUUCCUAAUGUAUAAUUAUAUAUGAAAUGAUUAAAAGAAU
rnacentral:lncRNA from 1 species